CCUACGGGAGGCAGCAGUGGGGGAUAUUGCACAAUGGGGGAAACCCUGAUGCAGCGACGCCGCGUGUGGGAAGACGGUCUUACGGAUUGUAAACCACUGUCCCCAGGGACGAAAAUGACGGUACCUGGGGAGGAAGCUCCGGCUAACUACGUGCCAGCAGCCGCGGUAAUAGGUAGGGAGCAAGCUUUGUCCGGAAUUACGGGGUGAAAAGGGAGCGUAGGCGGGGAUGCAAGUUGGGUGUCAAAACUACCGGCUCAACCGAUAGUCGAAAUCAAAACUGCAACUCUUGAGUGAAGUAGAGGCAGGCGGAAUUCCUAGUGUAGCGGUGAAAUGCGUAGAUAUUAGGAGAAACACCAGUGGCGAAGGCGGCCUGCUGGGCUUUUACUGACGCUGAGGCUCGAAAGUGUGGGGAGCAAACAGGAUUAGAUACCCCGGUAGUC
rnacentral:rRNA from 1 species